AGUACUUUGCCUGCCCUCCAAAAAACUCAGAAGCACAUCCCCCUUUUGAUAUGUCAAAUCCAGGAGAGAGGACUACAAAUAAACUCAAUUGCAGAGGGCCUCACAGUCAUGCCCGAGGCCCUGGUUUCAAUCCCCAGGAAUAGAAAAUACUAUAGACCCAGAAAAUAAUGGGAGUCCUGGAGAUCCAGAUGUAGAACUCACAGCUACUUCUCCAGCACCAAGUCUGUCUGCAUGCCACCAUGAUUCCCACCAUGAUGACAAUGGACUAAAACUCUGCAGAGAAGCUGUGAAGAAUUGGGG
rnacentral:lncRNA from 1 species